GGGGGUGUGUUCUCUCCCUGGCUUGGGAAAGGGCGUAGAGCCAGUGGGCAGCGCAGGGACUGGGAGCCAGGACUCCUGGGUGUCUUUCAUGCUGUCAGACGGGUUGGACUCCAGCUGUGCUCCCCUGCAGGUCGGAGAGCAGGUCCCCCUCUCGCCGCGAGAGGAAAAAGAGCUCAAAGAAGAAGAAGCACAGGUCGGAGUCGGAUUCUAAGAAGAGGAAACACAGGUCUCCCAGUCCAAAAAGCAAACACAAAGCCAAGGAGAAGAAA